rnacentral:rRNA from 1 species
UACGUAGGGUGCGAGCGUUGUCCGGAAUUAUUGGGCGUAAAGAGCUCGUAGGCGGCUUGUUGCGUCGACUGUGAAAACCCGCGGCUUAACCGCGGGCUUGCAGUUGAUACGGGCAGGCUAGAGUUCGGUAGGGGAGACUGGAAUUCCUGGUGUAGCGGUGAAAUGCGCAGAUAUCAGGAGGAACACCGGUGGCGAAGGCGGGUCUCUGGGCCGAUACUGACGCUGAGGAGCGAAAGCAUGGGUAGCGAACAGG